AUUGAACGCUGGCGGCAGGCCUAACACAUGCAAGUCGAGCGGAUGAAGGGAGCUUGCUCCUGGAUUCAGCGGCGGACGGGUGAGUAAUGCCUAGGAAUCUGCCUGGUAGUGGGGGAUAACGUCCGGAAACGGGCGCUAAUACCGCAUACGUCCUGAGGGUGAAAGUGGGGGAUCUUCGGACCUCACGCUAUCUUCUGUGCCUAGGUCGGAUUAGCUAGUUGGUGGGGUAAAGGCCUACCAAGGCGACGAUCCGUAACUGGUCUGAGAGGAUGAUCAGUCACACUGGAACUGAGACACGGUCCAGAAUCCUACGGGAGGCAGCAGUGGGGAAUAUUGGACAAUGGGCGAAAGCCUGAUCCAGCCAUGCCGCGUGUGUGAAGAAGGUCUUCGGAUUGUAAAGCACUUUAAGUUGGGAGGAAGGGAAGUAAGUUAAUACCUUGCUGUUUUGACGUUACCAACAGAAUAAGCACCGGCUAACUUCGUG
rnacentral:rRNA from 1 species